AGAGUUUGAUCCUGGCUCAGAUUGAACUUUGGCGGCAGGCCUAACACAUGCAAGUCGAACGGUAACAGGAAGCAGCUUGCUGCUUCGCUGACGAGUGGCGGACGGGUGAGUAAUGUCUGGGAAACUGCCUGAUGGAGGGGGAUAACUACUGGAAACGGUAGCUAAUACCGCAUAACGUCGCAAGACCAAAGAGGGGGACCUUCGGGCCUCUUGCCAUCGGAUGUGCCCAGAUGGGAUUAGCUUGUUGGUGGGGUAACGGCUCACCAAGGCGACGAUCCCUAGCUGGUCUGAGAGGAUGACCAGCCACACUGGAACUGAGACACGGUCCAGACUCCUACGGGAGGCAGCAGUGGGGAAUAUUGCACAAUGGGCGCAAGCCUGAUGCAGCCAUGCCGCGUGUAUGAAGAAGGCCUUCGGGUUGUAAAGUACUUUCAGCGGGGAGGAAGGGAGUAAAGUUAAUACCUUUGCUCAUUGACGUUACCCGCAGAAGAAGCACCGGCUAACUCCGUGCCAGCAGCCGCGGUAAUACGGAGGGUGCAAGCGUUAAUCGGAAUUACUGGGCGUAAAGCGCACGCAGGCGGUUUGUUAAGUCAGAUGUGAAAUCCCCGGGCUCAACCUGGGAACUGCAUCUGAUACUGGCAAGCUUGAGUCUCGUAGAGGGGGGUAGAACUCCAGGUGUAGCGGUGAAAUGCGUAGAGAUCUGGAGGAAUACCGGUGGCGAAGGCGGCCCCCUGGACGAAGACUGACGCUCAGGUGCGAAAGCGUGGGGAGCAAACAGGAUUAGAUACCCUGGUAGUCCACGCCGUAAACGAUGUCGACUUGGAGGUUGUGCCCUUGAGGCGUGGCUUCCGGAGCUAACGCGUUAAGUCGACCGCCUGGGGAGUACGGCCGCAAGGUUAAAACUCAAAUGAAUUGACGGGGGCCCGCACAAGCGGUGGAGCAUGUGGUUUAAUUCGAUGCAACGCGAAGAACCUUACCUGGUCUUGACAUCCACGGAAGUUUUCAGAGAUGAGAAUGUGCCUUCGGGAACCGUGAGACAGGUGCUGCAUGGCUGUCGUCAGCUCGUGUUGUGAAAUGUUGGGUUAAGUCCCGCAACGAGCGCAACCCUUAUCCUUUGUUGCCAGCGGUCCGGCCGGGAACUCAAAGGAGACUGCCAGUGAUAAACUGGAGGAAGGUGGGGAUGACGUCAAGUCAUCAUGGCCCUUACGACCAGGGCUACACACGUGCUACAAUGGCGCAUACAAAGAGAAGCGACCUCGCGAGAGCAAGCGGACCUCAUAAAGUGCGUCGUAGUCCGGAUUGGAGUCUGCAACUCGACUCCAUGAAGUCGGAAUCGCUAGUAAUCGUGGAUCAGAAUGCCACGGUGAAUACGUUCCCGGGCCUUGCACUCACCGCCCGUCA
rnacentral:rRNA from 1 species